rnacentral:rRNA from 1 species
UACGAAGGGGGCUAGCGUUGCUCGGAAUCACUGGGCGUAAAGGGUGCGUAGGCGGGUUUUUAAGUCAGAGGUGAAAUCCUGGAGCUCAACUCCGGAAUUGCCUUUAAGACUGCAUCGCUAGAAUUGUGGAGAGGUAAGUGGAAUUCCGAGUGUAGAGGUGAAAUUCGUAGAUAUUCGGAAGAACACCAGUGGCGAAGGCGACUUACUGGACACAUACUGACGCUGAGGUGCGAAAGCGUGGGGAGCAAACAGG